GUGUCAGCCGCCGCGGUAAUACGUAGGCAGCAAGCGUUGUUCGGAGUUACUGGGCGUAAAGGGUGUGUAGGCGGUUCCUUAAGUUUGCUGUGAAAUCUCCCGGCUUAACCGGGAGGGUGCGGUGAAUACUGAGGGACUAGAGUACGGGAGAGGAAAGUGGAAUUCCUGGUGUAGCGGUGAAAUGCGUAGAUAUCAGGAGGAACACCGGUGGUGUAGACGGCUUUCUGGACCGUAACUGACGCUGAGACACGAAAGCGUGGGUAGCAAACAGGAUUAGAUACCCUGGUAGUCC
rnacentral:rRNA from 1 species